AUUGAACGCUGGCGGCAGGCCUAACACAUGCAAGUCGAACGGUAGCACAGAGAGCUUGCUCUCGGGUGACGAGUGGCGGACGGGUGAGUAACGUCUGGGAAACUGCCCGAUGGAGGGGGAUAACUACUGGAAACGGUAGCUAAUACCGCAUAACGUCGCAAGACCAAAGUGGGGGACCUUCGGGCCUCACACAAUCGGAUGUGCCCAGAUGGGAUUAGCUAGUAGGUGGGGUAAUGGCUCAACUAGGCGACGAUCCCUAGCUGGUCUGAGAGGAUAACCAGCCACCGUGGAACUGAGACACGGUCCAGACUCCUACGGGAGGCAGCAGUGGAGAAUAGUGCACAAUGGGCGCAAGCCUGAUGCAGCCAUGCCGCGUGUAUGAAGAAGGCCUUCGGGUUGUAAAGUACUUUCAGCGGGGAGGAAGGCGGUGAAGUUAAUAGCUUCACCGAUUGACGUUACCCGCAGAAGAAGCACCGGCUAACUCCGUGCCAGCCGCCGCCGUAA
rnacentral:rRNA from 1 species